AGAGCAACGAAACAGCGAAUGUUAUCAAUCUGCUCAUGGAUCGAUGCGCAAUAGAUGAAAAAGUUGAAAAAAAACUGGUUAAAUUUGUACGCGAUCUUUUGUAUCGGAAAGUGAAAUUCACUGCCUGUGAUAUUAUUUCAUUAGACCGCACCGUUAUAGGAGCCAUUGUUGGUACAAUGGCAACUUAUCUCAUUAUUCUGAUACAAUUUCGUUCGAGUGCCGAUUGAAAUUAAUUAAUUUGUUAUUUAUUAAUCUAUUUCUAAUUAAAUACGUUAUUAUUCCGAAGCUUCAAAAAUAAUAUUCAGCUAUUCAUGUAUUUAUUUAUGGUUAGAAUUGUUAUGACGCACAUAUUUAUCUUGUUUAUUUAUAAUUAAAAUGUUUAAAUUGUCAGAAAUAAAAUUCUGGGCGUUGGUUGACCCUGCGGGCUAGCCCCAAAAC